AUUGAACGCUGGCGGCAGGCUUCACACAUGCAAGUCGAACGAGUGGAGGACUGGUGAGUAAUGCUUGGGAAUCGAGCUUAUGGCGGGUGGUACCUACGGGAAACUGUAGCUAAUACCGCGUCCCAUAGGAUGAGCCCAUGUGGGAUUAGGUCGUUGUUGAUGUAAAGGCUCACCAAGCCGACGAUCUCUAGCUGGUCUGAGAGGAUGACCAGCCAACCGGGGACUGGGACACGGGCCAGAUUCCUACGUGAGGAAGCAGUGGGGAAUAUUGCGCGAUGGGGGCAACCUGACGGAGCCAUGCCGCGUGAAGGAAGAAGGCCUUAGGGUUGUAAAGUUCUUUCGGUAGCGAGGCGUUAACUACAGAAGAAGCACCGGCUAACUCCGUGCCAGCAGCCGCGGUAAUAC
rnacentral:rRNA from 1 species